rnacentral:miRNA from 1 species
UAGUUCAGUGUAUUAUUUGGC